CUUGAAAACCCUAAUCUAUUAUCUUCUAUUGUUGAGGUUGAAGAUUGCUUGUGCUUGUUCAUUUAGCGUUAUUAUCUUUGUUGCGGAGGAGGUAGUUCCGG